UCACAGACACCACCCCACCCGAGCAGCCAAGCACAAACCAAGCAUGAGAGAAGAGAAGUCCCAAAACCACCAGUACUCCGAGCCCCUCACUUUAACAAUGUGAGCAGAAGAGGCCGCCCAGUGCUGGGACCCGGAUAUGAACACACCUACUGCCAGAAGUCAAUGUGGGCCAUGACGAAGAAAUCUGAACCAGGUUUUAAUUAUGAAACCGGCCUCAAGUCAUUGAUUCUGACAAGACUCCCACCACCCAUGAGCAGACUGUUCCUCCGGAUGCUUCAAUCAAUCAACUUAUUAAAUGCCAACUACCAGGAACGCCAGAAACCAGGCUUUCGUCUCCUAUUGUGGCAGGAGCUUUGUUGCCAAGGUAUGGGUAAGUACCUUGCUCACUUAGAAACUCAACCAUUCACUUACUGUUUGCUCUGAAUUACUCUGUCACUCAACUUCCUACCCUGGGUCAACCCGUCGCUCUGGUACUAGACAUUUUCAUCCACAGGGACCAAAACGCCAGGUUCUCUGGAAUAUGGUUUGACCUAGAGCUAUCCACAAAGGCCUGGAAAUAAUUAGCAAUUUUCACCAUACAGGUAUUUGCCGUAACUGGAUCUGCCUUAUAGGAGAUGAUUCUAGGGACUUAAUAGCCACAAAAACCUAGCAGAGGGGAAAAGCAAAUAAGGCCACCCUGAGACAUCCAUUCCUCCCCUACCAGGGCAGGGAAAAGAUCUAAGAAAAAGGAGCAGAGGAGGUGGAGGCAUUAUUUAAGGAUAAAUUACUAAACCAGCUCAAUAUGAAACUGUCUACAUUCAACUGGAUGGAAACAAACUCAGAGUCAACCAUUCAGCUCUAAUGUGCCAGGUAGGCCAACAGCUGGGAAAACCUUCAUUUCCACAGGUACAAAACAGUUCCCCCUUGGGAUCAGCCUUCCAGGGUAAGCAGAAGCCACAGGAGUGUCCUUCUAGAAGAGCUGGCUGUACUUAAAAAUCUUGGCUUGUCAGGAAUCAAAAACUUAACCUUCCGAGCAAAUCAAAAUCCUAUCUGGGAGACAGGACAGUCUGAUUGAAAGCCCCACUGGGGGAAUCCUAGUUUUCUUUUGAAGAACGAAUUUGAGGAGAGUAAAAAAUAAAGGGUUUUUAGGACCAGAAUAUCCGUAUUUUCAUGGUCACAACUGGUUGUAUUUCUAUUGGGAAUAUUUUAAUUUGCUUUCCAAUUAAAUCUCUCCAACAGAGAAUAUAACAAUUUUAAAGAUUUCAAGUGUCUAAGAGGUGCUGUUAAAUCAGGGAUUCUGAGUGACACCCUUUUUUUUUUUGCAACAUCCAUUAAUUUGAAUUUUAACUAGUACUGGUACAUCAGUUUGGGGGGGGAAAAGGCAGUACUGUGACAUUUCAAAAACAAAGACCAUCGGAGUACAGUUUGACAUAAUUACUGGGGCUUCUUGGUUUUCAUGGGAGUCCUUUGAGAACGAAAAAACAAUAAACUCUUGUGUUGAUAUGCCUGAGUACUUUUUAAAUGUUUGGGGAAAUACUUUUAAGUUCAAUGAUGACUGCUAAAAUUUUCACUUACAAAAGAAAUCCCAUUUCCUCCACACUUCAUUUUCAAGUAAAGUUAAACAAGCAUCCUUUGACAACUUAGUCGCCCUCGAAACUUGGAAGGUUCAUCUGUUAGCAUCCAGUUUCUGCACUUGGCUCCUGGAGGAGGAAUUUCACCAAGGAGGGAAAACUUCAAAUAAAUGCAAUUCCUUUUCGGCUGA